rnacentral:lncRNA from 1 species
AUGGAUUUGGGUCAGUCUUUCAUUCUGCGUUUCUUUCUGCAGGCAGUUCUUUGCCCAGCGACCCGGGAGCACCAGCCCAAAGGCAGAUAAAUGGCUUCACUGGAAACUCCCAUCCUCAGCCAGGAGGCUCCAGCCGCACAAAGGAUUUGGACUCCUCUCCAGCACACCAUCGAGGGGAGAGAGAAUCCAGAGCAUCAGCCCUAGGUGACUUGGGAAGCCGCUCCCCAGCUGCUUCUCAGAAAAACUCGACUGCCCCAGACUCUUUGCAGCUCCGGGAGCUCCCAGUGGCUCCAAGGAAUGUGCAAGUAAUGAUGGCAGAGCAGCUUAGUUCCAGUCAGGACACAUAUGGUCCAAUCUACGAAAGCAUCCGGGAUAAAGGAAUCACUUGCUACCGAGGGAGUUUGUACGAACUAAGUGCUGACACCGCAGAAGGCCCUAAUAUGAACUCAGGCCAUGCUACUGCAGGGGGUGAGGAGAGUGAGCCAGGGGAAACACUGCCACGACGCACUAGCAAACAGGAGCAGCUUGUGGCUCAUGGUUUCAGUGGGGAGCCCAGGGAGUCACCUCAGGAGUGGCAGGAACUUGUCUUGGAGGAAGAUGCCGUGAAUGAGUCCUUGACUGAAAGGGAGAAGAAGCUAAGGGCGAUGUACGCGCGAGUGUGUAAGAAAUCCAGGUCUCCCGGGCACACACCACCUGCAUGCCCAGACGCGUCCACAGAGCUGGAAGAGGAGGAGCCUCCGCCCCUACCAGAAAAGCACUUGGAUGUGAUCUAUGAAACCCUGGGGAGCCUGGGGUCUGAGACGCAGGACAGUGAGAUGCCAACCAUCAUAGUCCAGCCAGAAGAAUGAGGAGCCCCAACUUCCGGGGAAGGCUACAUCGAGUGCAGAGAGAACUCCAACCCUGACUGGCCCUACCAGGAGAGGCAGACGUUUCCUGACCUUUCGUGGAGGGACGCCAUGAAGCCACGCCUGACACUAAAGCAUCCCUAGCUCCUGCCCCUAUCCUGUUAAUGGUAUUACCCAGAUACACCAAGGACUUCCUUGGAGAUCUCAGUUAGGAAUGUUCUGCUGCCACUGAUGUUGCAGUGUCGACAGCUCCAUCAGAGGUGCUGGAACAGCAUGUCUUACCCGCAGCAGCUGUUGAAGAAACUGAUCCCAAUUGUGUUUGAGCAUGGAGCACAACAUGACAGGCUCUGAGAGUUACAGGGAGACUAAGGGAGUGAUAGAUCUCCACCAGUAUCCUCCUGAGACCUACACACUGAGAAGGGAUGUCUGCACUUUUGGAGACACCGUUGUACAGAAACUGCCAGAGCCCUCCCUCCCUUCCACACAACUGUUAUUCCAGGGUUUGAAAGCCAGCGCUGUACAACAGUGUGGUACAAUAGCUGUGCACUCAGCUGUGAUGAAGUCUUGGCUAUUAACCGAAUGCCCUCGAAGAGGCAUUCCCUGGCUGGGUGCAGCAAGGUUUCAGAAAUGAAGAGCGUGUCUUGGAAGUCCCCAGGGGAAAGCAGAACAAGCAGGGUGAUUUCAGUGCAUUAUGCAGACAGGAGCAAAUCAGUCUAGGUCACCAUGUCCCACAGGGCUGCUAAGAGGUGGCUUUUGGAAACUCAGGUCUAAUUCUGUAGAAGCCCAGAUGUUUAUCAGACCAAAUAGUAACUUACCAAAUUUCUCUUUCUCUAGCACUUGGUCUGGGAAUUAAUAGCCCUGCUGCGAUCUGAUAGUAAUCUGUAGCCUUAUCUCAGUUUCCCCCUGAAUCUGCUCUCUGAUACUGGCAUAAAUCCAUUGGCUUCAGUAGUGUUACUGUUGAAUUACACUAGCAGAGGAGAAUUGGGCCCAGUACUCUACCUGAGCUAAAAUCUACUGUCAGCAUGUCCCAGCCUGGCUUUCCUAUUUUGAGUAGGUCAUGACUACAGAAGCUGAUGCCUUGUGACUGUUAGUAGGAUCACAGUAACUUUGUCAAAGUGCCAGUGGGGACAUUGUUCAGAGCUGCAUCUGAUAGUGUUUGGUGCAAGUGAAAGGGCCAUCCCUUCUCGUUAUCAACCUGGUUAUUCAGAGUUAAGACAAACAAAUAUCUGAGCCAAGCCUCUGAAAAGCAUUUCGCGGAAAAUGGCUGGGGGUUGUGCCAGGGAAUUCUGCCCUCCCCCCAUUAGCUGUCCUGAAAAUAACCCAACAGAGAUGAGUGUGUUCAUAUUGUAAGGAGGAAUCAAAAUCAAGACCCAUCUGAAGUCUGUCUCCCACCCACAAGAACCGCCAAAUAACAUUUUACAGGAAAUCUUAAAGCUUGACUACCCAGCAGAGAGCUCACACAAUCACCUCUUAAACAAAAAUUUCCAUCAUUCUGCUCUGCCUGGGGCUAUGAACGUCCACAGGGUAAGAAACCAUUCUCACUGUGAAAUGUGUGUAUUUUUUCAUUUGUAUUAAGGUUUUGUUUGUAAGUAGUUUUUAAAUGGUUAAUCGGUGAUUAAUAAAUGGUUCAUAGAUUGUUACA